rnacentral:rRNA from 1 species
AUGAACGCUGGCGGCGUGCCUAACACAUGCAAGUCGAACGGAGAUUAGACGCUGACGAGACUCGGUCAAAUCUGUUAAUCUUAGUGGCGGACGGGUGAGUAACGCGUGGGCAACCUGCCUCAUACUGGGGGAUAGCAGUUGGAAACGACUGAUAAUACCGCAUAAGCGCACGAGAUCGCAUGAUCUAGUGUGAAAAAACUCCGGUGGUAUGAGAUGGGCCCGCGUCAGAUUAGCUAGUUGGUAAGGUAACGGCUUACCAAGGCGACGAUCUGUAGCCGGACUGAGAGGUCGGACGGCCACAUUGGGACUGAGACACGGCCCAAACUCCUACGGGAGGCAGCAGUGGGGGAUAUUGCACAAUGGAGGAAACUCUGAUGCAGCGACGCCGCGUGAAGUGAAGAAGUAUUUCGGUAUGUAAAGCUCUAUCAGCAGGGAAGAAAGGCUCUAAGGAGAGAUGACGGUACCUGACUAAGAAGCCCCGGCUAACUACGUGCCAGCCGCUGC